UGAUACCCUUGAAAUUACAGUAUAAUAAUUUGCAUCACGAAUUUUAAAGAAAAGUAGUGAUUUGGGUCGGCUAAAAAAGGUUAAAACUAGUAUGUCGCCGACUCCUUUCAAGGACAUGUAUAGAAAAUUUGUCCAUGUUUUGAUUUAGAGUUGAUGAAGUUUUCUAUUAUAUUGAUAUAAUGUGUCCCGUAAGUAAUACACC
rnacentral:lncRNA from 1 species